UAUUAGGUCCGUGCAAAAGUAAUUGCGGUUUUUGCCACUGCUUUUCAUAGCCAAAACCUGCAAUUACUUUUGCACCAACGUAAUACU
rnacentral:miRNA from 1 species